rnacentral:lncRNA from 1 species
GGUCAGCACUUCCAGGAGACUUAGAAAUUGUCCUUGGAGAGAUGCUCGGUUCCAACCAUACAAGCCGUAUAAGCCGAGAACCUAUCGCGGACUUUAAAUCGGUAUGGAAUCAAGUUGAAACUGUAACGGGAUACGUAAGCCGAAUUAGUCAUCGCACCCCUUAAACCCAGAAGUAAGCCUAGGUCUUGCCCUAAACCCAUCACACUGGUCUCUAACAUCUCUAGGCAUGA